UAUCAUCUGAUACGGUCUUCAGCUGCGAAAUUGCAAGCAAUCAAAGCAUUUGAUGAGGUCUCAAAAGCACCCAACAAUGAUUUAGAAGCUAGUCAGGAAACUCACCUUCUCAAGGGAGAAGAUCAGNGGAGCAUGUUGCAAUAGCUGUGGCAUCAAUCAAGUCCAUUGAUGAUGAUAAAGAGAGCCAAGCUAUUGUUUCGCAAGCGUCACACCAUGAACAUGGAAAAGAGGCG
rnacentral:misc_RNA from 1 species